AUGAUGCGCCGCGGCCCGCGGUGGGCGGCUCCGCAUUUCCCACCAGCUACGACCUCCGAGUUAGGCGCCACAGCAGCAUCAUCUUCGAGCACUAUUCAACUGCAGAUAUUUCCCUUCCUUCCUUCCUUCACUUGCAAACCAAACCAAACCAAGCACCCGCUGCUGCUUCCUUUCCCGUGGCAUUUAAAAGCGCCCCUCGCCCGCUCGUCCACCCCACACCGUCAACCCUGCCCCGCCUCCGACCCCAGACCAAACGCGGCAGCUCCACCGACAGCAACCCUUCCCAAGAUGCAGCGGCAGCUCAACCUCUCGCCGGCGCCGAAGCAGCAGCAGCACGACGACGGCGACGGCGGCGACGCGGUGGAGGCGGUGCCGCUGUGGGUGCCCGAGCAGUCCGCGGAGGCCAAGGCCGACAAGGCGCCCGGCGGCCGCCCGGAGAGGUCCAUCCACCUCAUCCCGCUGCUCACCUUCCUCUGCUUCCUCCUCCUCUUCCUCUGCUCCCACGCCCCUUCCUCCUCCGAUAUGUCGAGCUUCGGCGGUGGCGGCGGCGGCGCCGGCGGACGGAAGGCUGGCAACCGGAGGCUGAUGAUGCUAUAA
rnacentral:rRNA from 1 species